rnacentral:rRNA from 1 species
AUUGAACGCUGGCGGCAGGCCUAACACAUGCAAGUCGAACGGUAACAGGAAGAAGCUUGCUUCUUUGCUGACGAGUGGCGGACGGAUGAGUAAUGUCUGGGAAACUGCCUGAUGGAGGGGGAUAACUACUGGAAACGGUAGCUAAUACCGCAUAACGUCGCAAGACCAAAGAGGGGGACCUUCGGGCCUCUUGCCAUCGGAUGUGCCCAGAUGGGAUUAGCUAGUAGGUGGGGUAACGGCUCACCUAGGCGACGAUCCCUAGCUGGUCUGAGAGGAUGACCAGCCACACUGGAACUGAGACACGGUCCAGACUCCUACGGGAGGCAGCAGUGGGGAAUAUUGCACAAUGGGCGCAAGCCUGAUGCAGCCAUGCCGCGUGUAUGAAGAAGGCCUUCGGGUUGUAAAGUACUUUCAGCGGGGAGGAAGGGAGUAAAGUUAAUACCUUUGCUCAUUGACGUUACCCGCAGAAGAAGCACCGGCUAACUCCGUG